UACGGGGGGUGCGAGCGUUGUCCGGAAUCACUGGGCGUAAAGGGCGCGUAGGUGGCCUGAUAAGGGUGUGGUGAAAGUCCGGGGCUCAACCCCGGAUCUGCCGUGCCGACUGUUGGGCUGGAGUACUGUAGGGGCAGGCGGAAUUCCGGGUGUAGCGGUGGAAUGCGUAGAGAUCCGGAAGAACACCGGUGGCGAAGGCGGCCUGCUGGGCAGUUUAGCUGACACUGAGGCGCGACAGCGUGGGGAGCAAACAGG
rnacentral:rRNA from 1 species